UACGAAGGGGGCUAGCGUUGCUCGGAAUCACUGGGCGUAAAGCGCACGUAGGCGGAUUGUUAAGUCAGGGGUGAAAUCCUGGAGCUCAACUCCAGAACUGCCUUUGAUACUGACGGUCUUGAGUCCGGGAGAGGUGAGUGGAACUCCGAGUGUAGAGGUGAAAUUCGUAGAUAUUCGGAAGAACACCAGUGGCGAAGGCGGCUCACUGGCCCGGUACUGACGCUGAGGUGCGAAAGCUAGGGGAGCAACGGG
rnacentral:rRNA from 1 species